GUCUUCGGAGUAGUAAAGUGGCGUACGGGUGAGUAAGACAUGGGUAAUCUGCCUUUGAGCGGGGGAUAACCAGCCGAAAGGCUGGCUAAUACUCCAUACGCUUCCGGUCCUUCGGGUAAGGAAAGAAAGCUGCAUCGUGGAUGUGGCACUCAAAGAUGGGCUCAUGGCCUAUCAGCUUGUUGGUAGGGUAACGGCCUACCAAGGCAACGACGGGUAGCUGGUCUGAGAGGACGAUCAGCCACACUGGCACUGAGAUACGGGCCAGACUCCUACGGGAGGCAGCAGUGGGGAAUAUUGCGCAAUGGCCGAAAGGUUGACGCAGCGACGCCGCGUGUGGGAGGACGCCCUUCGGGGUGUAAACCACUGUCAGGGGGGAAGAACUUCGUAGGUGCGAAUAGUGCUUACGGUUGACGGUACCCCCAAAGGAAGCGCCGGCUAACUCCGUGCCAGCAGCCGCGGUAAGACGGAGGGCGCAAGCGUUGUUCGGAAUUACUGGGCGUAAAGGGCAGGUAGGUGGUCUGUUAAGUCUUCUGUGAAAAUCCGGGGCUCACCCCGUGAAAUGCAGGUGAAACUGGCAGACUUGAGACCGGUAGAGGCUAGCGGAAUUCCUGGUGUAGCGGGUGGAAUGCGUAGAUAUCAGGAAGAACACCUGUGGCGAAGGCGGCUAGCUGGGGCCGGUUCUGACACUGAACCGCGAAAGCGUGGGGAGCAAACAGGAUUAAGAUACCCUGGCAGUCCACGCCGUAAACGAUGGG
rnacentral:rRNA from 1 species